UGAGGAAUUUUCCGCAAUGGGCGAAAGCCUGACGGAGCGACGCCGUGUGGGUGAUGAAGGCCUUCGGGUCUUAAAGCCCUGUCAGCGAUGACGAUAUUGACGGUAAUCGCAGAGGAAGCCUCGGCUAACUACGUGUCAGCAGCCGCGGUAAUACGUAGGAGGCAAGCGUUGUCCGGAAUUAUUGGGCGUAAAGAGCAUGUAGGCGGUCCCGUAAGUCAGGCGUUAAAUCCCCGGGCUCAACCCGGGUUCGCACUUGAUACUGCAGGGCUUGAGAGAUGUAGAGGAAAGCGGAACUACCGGUGUAGCGGUGAAAUGCGUAGAUAUCGGUAGGAACACCAGUGGCGAAGGCGGCUUUCUGGACAUUUUCUGACGCUGAGAUGCGAAAGCUAAGGGAGCAAACGGG
rnacentral:rRNA from 1 species